CAGUAGCCGCGGUAAUACGAAGGGAGCAAGCGUUGUUCGGAUUUACUGGGCGUAAAGGGCGCGUAGGCGGCGCGGUAAGUCACUUGUGAAAUCUCUGAGCUUAACUCAGAACGGCCAAGUGAUACUGCUGUGCUAGAGUGCGGAAGAGGCAACCGGAAUUCUUGGUGUAGCGGUGAAAUGCGUAGAUAUCAAGAGGAACACCUGAGGCGAAGGCGGGUUGCUGGGCCGACACUGACGCUGAUGCGCGAAAGCCAGGGGAGCAAACGGGAUUAGAUACCCCAGUAGUCCCUGUCUCUUAUAC
rnacentral:rRNA from 1 species